CUGAAACAGGAUCUGGCCCUCUUGCUCUGGGCUCCCUUUUGUCUGACUGUAGACUCUGGGCACCCUGGCCGCUUGCAGGGGUGAGCACAGCUGUCAUCUGCUCCUGAAGGCGCGGAUGCCCUGACUGUGUGGAUCCUGUCUGUGUGGCCCCUGGCACGCUGUGACCUCCUGCAGCACCGCACUUGCAGUGCUGGCUUUGAUAAUGGAGUUACUUUUAGGCUGAUCUGCCUCCUAGCAAAAUGCCUGACACCGAGUAGGUGCCUGGUAAGCACUGAGUAAAG
rnacentral:lncRNA from 1 species